UACGUAGGGAGCAAGCGUUGUCCGGAAUCAUUGGGCGUAAAGCGCACGUAGGCGGUCUGUUAUGUCGGAUGUGAAAGCCCUCGGCUUAACUGAGGAAGUGCAUCCGAAACUGGCAGGCUAGAGUACCAAAGAGGGUCGCGGAAUUCCCGGUGUAGAGGUGAAAUUCGUAGAUAUCAGGAGGAACACCGGUGGCGAAGGCGGGUCUCUGGGCCGAUACUGACGCUGAGACGCGAAAGCGUGGGGAGCGAACGGG
rnacentral:rRNA from 1 species